ensembl:lncRNA
GUUAGUGUGUCUGUGUGUAGAUCUAAAUAUUAAUAUGUCUUCCUGUACAUCAAAAUAUUAGUUUAUGUCUUUGUUUAGAACCAAAUGUUAGUGUGUCUGUGUGUAUAUGUAAUUGUUAGUGUGUCUGUGUGUAGAUCUAAUUGUUAGUGUGUCUGUGUGUACAUCUAAAUGUUAUUGUGUCUUUGUGUACAUCUACAUAUUAGUGUGUGUCUUUGUUUAGAACCAAAUGAUAGUGUGUCUGUGUGUACAUGUAAUUGUUAGUGUGUCUGUGUGUAGAUCUAAUUGUUAGUGUGUCUGUGUGUACAUCUAAAUGUUAUUGUGUCUUUGUGUACAUCUACAUAUUAGUGUGUGUCUUUGUUUAGAACCAAAUGAUAGUGUGUCUGUGUGUACAUGUAAUUGUUAGUGUGUCUGUGUGUAGAUCUAAUUGUUAAGUGUGUCUGUGUGUACAUCUAAUGGUUAUUGUGUCUUUGUGUACAUCUAAAUAUUAGUGUGUGUCUUUGUUUAGAACCAAAUGUUAGUGUGUCUGUGUGUACAUUUAGUGUGUUGUGUGUCUUUGUUUAGAACCAAAUGUUAGUGUGUCUGUGUGUACAUCUGUGUGUGUGUGUGUGUGUGUGUGUGUGUGUGUGUGUGGGUGUCUGUCAUGAGUAGAUCUGGAUUUGCUCCUGAGGGGUUGACGUGGCGUCCUGAUGGCAUCCUGAUGGCGUCCCGAUGACGUGGCGUCCUGAUGGCGUCCUGAUGGCGUCCCGUUGGGCUGCAGACAAGGAGAAGAGACGUGAGGAGGAUCAUCAGGAUGUGUCUGUGUGUACAUCUAAUUGUUAGUGUGUCUGUGUGUAGAUCUAAAUAUUAAUAUGUCUUCCUGUACAUCAAAAUAUUAGUUUAUGUCUUUGUUUAGAACCAAAUGUUAGUGUGUCUGUGUGUAUAUGUAAUUGUUAGUGUGUCUGUGUGUAGAUCUAAUUGUUAGUGUGUCUGUGUGUACAUCUAAAUGUUAUUGUGUCUUUGUGUACAUCUACAUAUUAGUGUGUGUCUUUGUUUAGAACCAAAUGAUAGUGUGUCUGUGUGUACAUGUAAUUGUUAGUGUGUCUGUGUGUAGAUCUAAUUGUUAAGUGUGUCUGUGUGUACAUCUAAUGGUUAUUGUGUCUUUGUGUACAUCUAAAUAUUAGUGUGUGUCUUUGUUUAGAACCAAAUGUUAGUGUGUCUGUGUGUACAUUUAUGUGUGUGUGUGUGUGUGUGUGGGUGUGUGUGUGUGUGUCAUGAGUAGAUCUGGAUUUGCUCCUGAGGGGUUGACGUGACGUCCUGAUGGCGUCCCGUUGACGUGGCGUCCCGAUGGCGUGGCGUCCUGAUGGCGUCCCGUUGGUCUGCAGACAAGGAGAAGAGACGUGAGGAGGAUCAUCAGGAUGUGAUACAAGAUUCAUGUGUACAUCUACAUGACAACAGCAGGAAUCAGAUGUUUAUCUCAAGGUAUUAGCUCUAAAUCACAGCCUUCUCCACCCGAUAGACCAAUACAUCAUUCACAGCAGUAAGGCUGCAGUCUGUCUGGAUUCCUCACUUACCUUGAGCUCUGUUGAGUGCAGCAGAACGCGUCUUCGUCCCCUCUACAGACUCCUGAGGCAUUACAUGGUUGCUUUCUGCAAGUGUAGGUCCGGAAAACAGUGUGUAGAUGCGAGGUUUGAAACUGACUGACUGGAUGUGCAACAGACUGUGUUUCUUAUGCUGUGGUGAACGGAGCAUAGAACAUGGAA